AUCCUUACCUGUCAGGGGGGAUACCGUGAUCACAAAGGUGGUUCUGCAGUGCACGGCUCAUCCAUUGCACUCCGGAUGUGCUGAUCCCUGCGAUUUCCCCAAACGUGGGAAACUCGACUGCAGAAUUUGUAGUAGUGGGGGACGCGUUUGUGCUUUCCCCUA
ensembl:snRNA U1 U1 spliceosomal RNA